AACCCUAACUUGAUACUACCCGCCGCCAGUAACCUUCCUUUCCCAAAAUCCAUUACUCAGCAGCUUGGGAAAAUCAAAGAAAGAAAUAAAGAAAAGAAAGGAAAGAAAGAAAGGGAAGAACGGAGAGGGUGAGAAAAGGGGAGGAGGGAAAUAGAUCUGCAGAGGAGGAGGAACAGGGAAGAGAGAGAUCUGAAGGGAGAGGGAGACCGUGACUGGCGCUGCCGCCGCCUCACCCAGCUGCCGUGCUUCUCGUCGUCGCCGCCGAAGGGAAGAGGGAGAGAGAGCGCCAUCGAACAGAACGCGAUAAGGGAGAGGAGCUGUGUUCUGUUGUUGACGUCGCACCACCGCCACGCCGCCGUGCUGUGCGAAGUCACCGCUGCCGCCUCGAGCCUCGCCGUCGUCUGUGCUUGUCGUCGUCGAGGGUCCAUCCACGCCGUCGCUGGAGCCUGAACGCCGCUGCAACCACCGCGUGUUAUCAUCUUCAGAUCCGCCGCCGUUUGAGUUGCGAACAGGGGAACGCGCGCGAAGGAAACUGUCGCGGAGCUGCUGUUGCCGCCGCGUUGCCAGAACUCCUCGUCGCUGCUGCUGGCGCUGGAAACCGCCUUUCAAGCCUGUAUCUAUUGGGAGGAGUCCGAGCAAAAAAAGGAAGAAGGUGGCGAUGGAUACCUCCGCUGCUGUUGCUGUUACUAUCGGUGUUCCGGAGCUUGCAGUUAUUGCCGUUUUUGGGUGAUGAACCCGGUUGUGUCCUUGCUGCUGAUUGAUUGUAGUGAGAGACAUUGUAGCCACUACUUUUCAUCUUGGUAAGUUCAUGGGUAAGAUUGCUUUGAUUCUUCUUUGUGCCAUUUUAUUUACGCAGCUAGUUCUGAUUCGUUUAAUUUACCGGAGUCACUCGGCGCUGCCGCCCUUGUUUGGAACUACUGAAUGUUGUUGUCUCCGGUAGCACUAUUCUUCCUAUUUUGAUUUCAACUCCUUUAAUUCUGAAAUUUAUAAUGUUUCUGCCUUUAUCCUACUGCUAUUUGGUUUUCUUGUGCCA